rnacentral:rRNA from 1 species
GACGUAGGGGGCCAGCGUUGUUCGGAAUUACUGGGUGUAAAGGGUUCGUAGGCGGUGUGGCAAGUCGGGAGUGAAGUCUCUGGGCUCAACUCAGAGACUGCUUCCGAAACUGCUGUGCUGGAGUGUGGGAGAGGCGCGUGGAAUUGCAGGUGUAGCGGUGAAAUGCGUAGAUAUCUGCAGGAACACCCGUGGCGAAAGCGGCGCGCUGGACCACUACUGACGCUGAGGAGCGAAAGCGUGGGGAGCAAACAGG